AUUGAACGCUGGCGGCGUGCCUAACACAUGCAAGUCGUGCGAUUGAGAGGUGAGCAUCUCACUUCUCAAGAGCGGCGGACGGGUGAGUAAUGCGUGAACAAUCUACCGGCAAGACUGGGACAACACCGGGAAACUGGUGCUAAUACCGGAUAAUCUCCACCGGCGGCAUCGUUGGUGGAGGAAAGUCGGCCUCUGGAUAAGCUGGCGCUUGUUGAUGAGUUCACGUCCCAUUAGCUUGUUGGCGGGGUAACGGCCCACCAAGGCGACGAUGGGUAGCCGGCCUGAGAGGGUGGUCGGCCACACUGGGACUGAGACACGGCCCAGACUCCUACGGGAGGCAGCAGUGGGGAAUCUUCCGCAAUGGGCGCAAGCCUGACGGAGCGACGCCGCGUGAGGGACGAAGGCCUUCGGGUUGUAAACCUCUUUUCUGGGGGAAGAACGUCCGGCCUGUUAAUAGCGGGUUGGGUUGACGGUACCUCAGGAAUAAGCCCCGGCUAACUACGUGCCAGCAGCCGCGGUAAUACGUAGGGGGCGAGCGUUGUCCGGAAUCACUGGGCGUAAAGGGCGCGUAGGCGGCUUGAGAAGUCGCAGGUGAAAUCCCGUGGCUCAACCGUGGAACUGCCUGCGAAACCAUCGGGCUUGAGGACAGGAGAGGGAAGCGGAAUUCCUGGUGUAGCGGUGAAAUGCGUAGAUAUCAGGAGGAACACCAGUGGCGAAGGCGGCUUUCUGGCCUGGUCCUGACGCUGAGGCGCGAAAGCUAGGGGAGCAAACAGGAUUAGAUACCCUGGUAGUCCUAGCUGUAAACGAUGGGCACUAGGUGUUGGGGGGUUCAUACCCUUCAGUGCCGUAGGUAACCCAAUAAU
rnacentral:rRNA from 1 species